GUGCCUAAUACAUGCAAGUCGAACGAUACUUUCUUACACCGAAUGCUUGCAUUCAUCCGUAAGAAGUUGAGUGGCGGACGGGUGAGUAACACGUGGGUAACCUGCCUAAAAGAAGGGGAUAACACUUGGAAACAGGUGCUAAUACCGUAUAUCUCUAAGGAUCGCAUGAUCCUUAGAUGAAAGAUGGUUCUGCUAUCGCUUUUAGAUGGACCCGCGGCGUAUUAACUAGUUGGUGGGGUAACGGCCUACCAAGGUGAUGAUACGUAGCCGAACUGAGAGGUUGAUCGGCCACAUUGGGACUGAGACACGGCCCAAACUCCUACGGGAGGCAGCAGUAGGGAAUCUUCCACAAUGGACGCAAGUCUGAUGGAGCAACGCCGCGUGAGUGAAGAAGGUCUUCGGAUCGUACAAACUCUGUCGUUAGAGAAGACCACGAGUGAGAGUAACUGUUCAUCCCAUGACGCUAUCUAACCACCAAGUCACGGCUAACUACGUGCCAGCAGCCGCGGUAAUACGUACGUGGCAAGCGUCGUCCGGAUUUAUUGGGGCGUAAACCGGAACGCACCGCNGUCUCUCCCGCUCCUGAUGAUGACAGCCUUUCGGCCUUACCCGCGCAGCUACCUGCACUCCGCACCACCCGCCACGCACCUGCAGCUGCCAGCAAAGACGACCACGCUGGCAACCUCCAUGUUGUUACGCCGUGGCAACUGCGCUCCAUCUUU
rnacentral:rRNA from 2 species